rnacentral:rRNA from 1 species
AUUGAACGCUGGCGGCAUGAUUUACACAUGCAAGUCGAACGGUAACAGGCCGCAAUGUGCUGACGAGUGGCGACCGCGUGAGUAAUGCAUCGGCACGUGCCCCGUCGUUGUGGAUAUCUACUCGCAACAGUAGCUCAUACCUCAUACGAUCUAUUGUUGAAAGCGGGGUACCGCAAGGCCUCGCGCGAUUGUAGCUGUCGAUGUUGGAUUAGUUAGUUGGUGGGGUAAAGGCUCACCAAGGCAACGAUCUCUAGCUGGUCUGAGAGGACGAGCAGCCACACUGGGACUGAGACACGGCCCAGACUCCUGCGGGAGGCAGCAGUGGGGAAUUUUGGACAAUGGGCGAAAGCCUGAUGGAGCAAUGCCGCGUGAAGGAAGAAGGCCUUCGGGUUGUAAACUGCUGUUGUAAGGAACGAAACGACUCUGGUGAAUACCCGGAGCUAAUGACGGUACCGUAAGAAUAAGCACCGGCUAACUACGUG